GAGUUUGAUCGUGGCUCAGAUUGAACGCUGGCGGCAUGCCUUACACAUGCAAGUCGAGCGGCAGCGCGGGGGCAACCCUGGCGGCGAGCGGCGAACGGGUGAGUAAUGCAUCGGAACGUGUCCUCUUGUGGGGGAUAACCAGUCGAAAGACUGGCUAAUACCGCAUGAGAUCAAGAGAUGAAAGCAGGGGACCGCAAGGCCUUGCGCGAGAGGAGCGGCCGAUGCCGGAUUAGCUAGUUGGUGGGGUAAAAGCCUACCAAGGCGACGAUCCGUAGCUGGUCUGAGAGGACGACCAGCCACACUGGGACUGAGACACGGCCCAGACUCCUACGGGAGGCAGCAGUGGGGAAUUUUGGACAAUGGGGGCAACCCUGAUCCAGCCAUGCCGCGUGUGUGAAGAAGGCC
rnacentral:rRNA from 1 species